GCUCGGAUAGCAAAAUGGUAAUGCAGUCGCCCGAUUAGCGAAAGAUUGUGGGUUCAAGUCCUACUCCGAGUACCA
rnacentral:tRNA from 1 species